AUUGUUCGUGUUAUGACUUUCGCGGUCCAUCACUCGUAGCUCGCUGUGCAAAUACUACACCCGUCUGUUGACUGUGGCAUAUCUACAAACGUAUGGUGAACAAUGCAUGGUAUUGCAUUGGUACUUUUUAAGAUCGAUUAUAUUUUAAUGAUUAUUAAUUGAAGGUCAUUUCCAAUCCCAGCUAUCUGAUCCUUACAUUUCAAAGAGGGAAAAUGGACCUUUCAAAGAGAGAAGAGUCAACUGUUGGUUUGUUGAGGCGAGGUGCCAAUCCACACAAUCUCACCGACAGGGCCAGGGCAAGGAAAAUGCUAGGGGGCUCCAAAUACCAACGUUGCCAAGGAUAAAUAGUUAAAAAGAAUCCCACCCAUUUUUCUAUUGAUUUUUCUCUUUAGAAAAAAACAGGCUGAGAAAGUGGGAGAUUUUUUGUACCAGAAAGAAUACACAUGUACCUGAUCAGCAAUCAAUACAUGUGAUUAUGUGAAGUAUCGUGGAGUACCCAGCAGGCCAGCACCAAGAAAUUUUCUUCUUUCUUUUUUUCUUUUUUUCUUUUCAUUCAGGAACUCC
rnacentral:misc_RNA from 1 species